rnacentral:misc_RNA from 1 species
AAGUCGUAACAAGGUCUCCGUAGGUGAACCUGCGGAGGGAUCAUUACUGAGUGAGGGAGCAAUCCCGACCUCCAACCCUUUGUGAACGCAUCAUGUUGCUUCGGGGGCGACCCUGCCACACACGGCAUUCCCCCCGGAGGUCAUCAAAACACUGCAUUCUUACGUCGGAGUAAAAAGUUAAUUUAAUAAAACUUUCAACAACGGAUCUCUUGGUUCUG